GGUACCUUGGCCGAGUGGUUAGGCGCCGGUCUGCAAAACCGUCGACGGCGGUUCGAAUCCGCCAGGUACCUCAA
rnacentral:tRNA from 1 species